UACAGAGGUCCCGAGCGUUGUUCGGAUUCAUUGGGCGUAAAGGGUGCGUAGGCGGUUUCCUAAGUUUGAUGUGAAAUCCCGGGGCUUAACCCUGGAAUUGCAUUGAAUACUGGGAGACUAGAGUACUGGAGAGGAAACUGGAAUUUACGGUGUAGCAGUGAAAUGCGUAGAGAUCGUAAGGAAGACCAGUGGCGAAGGCGAGUUUCUGGACAGUUACUGACGCUGAGACACGAAAGCGUGGGGAGCAAACAGG
rnacentral:rRNA from 1 species